rnacentral:rRNA from 1 species
UGCAUCGGUUGUCGUCAGCUCGUCGUCGUGAGACUGUUGGGUUAAGUCCCGUAACGAGCGCAACCCUUGUCCUUAGUUACCAGCACGUUAUGGUGGGCACUCUAAGGAGACUGCCGGUGACAAACCGGAGGAAGGUGGGGAUGACGUCAAGUCAUCAUGGCCCUUACGGCCUGGGCUACACACGUGCUACAAUGGUCGGUACAGAGGGUCGCCAAGCCGCGAGGUGGAGCUAAUCUCACAAAACCGAUCGUAGUCCGGAUCGCAGUCUGCAACUCGACUGCGUGAAGUCGGAAUCGCUAGUAAUCGCGAAUCAGAAUGUCGCGGUGAAUACGUUCCCGGGCCUUGUACACACCGCCCGUCGACGCGGCCG